AGAGAAACAAAUCGUUCAUAAUGAAACUGUUGCUGUUGGCACCAGUCCGGCUGUUAAGAUGAUCAAACAGGAUAAAGAUGAACCAAUAGACAACAGAAUACUUAGAGAAGAACACUUGUCAGGAAUUGCUGCAGCAGUAAA